UUGAACGCUGGCGGCAUGCUUUACACAUGCAAGUCGAACGGUAACAGGCCUUCGGGUGCUGACGAGUGGCGAACGGGUGAGUAAUGCAUCGGAACGUGCCCAAUCGUGGGGGAUAACGUAGCGAAAGUUACGCUAAUACCGCAUACGCCCUGAGGGGGAAAGCAGGGGAUCUUCGGACCUUGUGCGAAUGGAGCGGCCGAUGUCAGAUUAGCUAGUUGGUGGGGUAAAGGCCCACCAAGGCGACGAUCUGUAGCUGGUCUGAGAGGACGACCAGCCACACUGGGACUGAGACACGGCCCAGACUCCUACGGGAGGCAGCAGUGGGGAAUUUUGGACAAUGGGGGCAACCCUGAUCCAGCCAUGCCGCGUGAGUGAAGAAGGCCUUCGGGUUGUAAAGCUCUUUCAGACGGAAAGAAACGGUCACGAUUAAUACCCGUGACUAAUGACGGUACCGUCAGAAGAAGCACCGGCUAACUACGU
rnacentral:rRNA from 1 species